rnacentral:tRNA from 1 species
CCCUGGUAGCUCAGAUGGUAAAGAAAUCUGCCUGCAAUGCAGGAGACCCAGGUUUGAUCCCUGGACCAGGAA